CUGUAAAUCAGACCUAAUCCUUAGAAAGUAUCAUUUGACUUCUGCUGCACAUGAUGGGCGUCACAAUGUUGGGUGUUGUGCUGAUCUUCUUGUCUGUAGGGCUGAAUAUACAGACAGCAGAGAGCUGCCGCUGUGCCCCACCUCACCCUCAACAUCAAUUCUGCACUUCUGAAAUGGUGAUUUUAGCUGACGCAACCGGAAACAGACUUCCUGUUAACGAUCAAAACAACUUAUUUCGAUAUAAAAUCAAAAUAAUCAAGGUAUUGAAAGGUUCUAACAAUGCAAGCCGAAUUCAAUACAUCUACACAGAUCCACAAACAAUGUGUGGCAUCACACUGGAUCAGGGGCGAUACGUGCUUUCAGG